GCGCACCAAUCGAGAAUUUUUCUCAAUGGGGGCAACCCUGAAGGAGCGACGCCGCGUGGAGGAUGAAGGCUUUCGGGUUGUAAACUCCUGUCAUUUGAGAACAAGUGGCCGAACCUAACUACUUCGGCCUUGAUAGUAUCAGAAGAGGAGGGGACGGCUAACUCUGUGCCAGCAGCCGCGGUAAUACAGAGGUCCCAAGCGUUGUUCGGAUUCAUUGGGCGUAAAGGGUGCGUAGGUGGCGCCGUCAGUGGGGUGUGAAAUUUCGGAGCUUAACUCCGAAACUGCAUUCCAUACUGCGGUGCUUGAGGACUGGAGAGGAGACUGGAAUUUACGGUGUAGCAGUGAAAUGCGUAGAGAUCGUAAGGAAGACCAGUGGCGAAGGCGGGUCUCUGGACAGUUCCUGACACUGAGGCACGAAGGCCAGGGGAGCAAACGGGAUUAGAUACCCCUGUAGU
rnacentral:rRNA from 1 species